rnacentral:rRNA from 1 species
UACAGAGGGUGCAAGCGUUGUCCGGAUUUAUUGGGCGUAAAGAGCGUGUAGGCGGCCUGAAAGGUCAGCUGUGAAAACUCGAGGCUCAACCUCGAGACGUCGGUUGAAACCAUCUGGCUAGAGUCCGGAAGAGGAGUGUGGAAUUCCCAGUGUAGAGGUGAAAUUCGUAGAUAUUGGGAAGAACACCGGUGGCGAAGGCGGCGACCUGGUCCUUGACUGACGCUGAGGCGCGAAAGCGUGGGGAGCAAACAGG